rnacentral:rRNA from 1 species
UACGGGGGGAGCAAGCGUUGUUCGGAUUUACUGGGCGUAAAGGGCGCGUAGGCGGCGCAACAAGUCACUUGUGAAAUCUCCGGGCUUAACCCGGAGCGGUCAAGUGAUACUGUCGUGCUAGAGUGCGGAAGGGGCUACUGGAAUUCUCGGUGUAGCGGUGAAAUGCGUAGAUAUCGGGGAGGAACACCGGUGGCGAAGGGCGGGUCUCUGGGCCGAUACUGACGCUGAGGAGCGAAAGCGUGGGGAGCAAACAGG